rnacentral:rRNA from 1 species
AUUGAACGCUGGCGGCAGGCUUAACACAUGCAAGUCGAGCGGAGCGAGGGUGCUUGCACCUUAGCUUAGCGGCGGACGGGUGAGUAAUGCUUAGGAAUCUGCCUAUUAGUGGGGGACAACAUUCCGAAAGGAAUGCUAAUACCGCAUACGCCCUACGGGGGAAAGCAGGGGAUCUUCGGACCUUGCGCUAAUAGAUGAGCCUAAGUGGGAUUAGCUAGUUGGUGGGGUAAAGGCCUACCAAGGCGACGAUCUGUAGCGGGUCUGAGAGGAUGAUCCGCCACACUGGGACUGAGACACGGCCCAGACUCCUACGGGAGGCAGCAGUGGGGAAUAUUGGACAAUGGGCGGAAGCCUGAUCCAGCCAUGCCGCGUGUGUGAAGAAGGCCUUUUGGUUGUAAAGCACUUUAAGCGAGGAGGAGGCUACUUAGAUUAAUACUCUAGGAUAGUGGACGUUACUCGCAGAAUAAGCACCGGCUAACUCUGUGCCAGCAGCCGCCGCAGUAA